rnacentral:tRNA from 1 species
GCCUGGGGGCUCAGUCAGUUGAGCAUCUGACUUCGGCUCAGGUCAUGAUCUCACGGUUCGUGGGUUCGAGCCCCGCAUCGGGCU